rnacentral:rRNA from 1 species
UAUUGGUCAAUGGCCGGAAGCCUGAACCAGCCAAGUCGCGUGAGGGAUGACGGCCCUACGUUUUGUAAACCUCUUUUGUCGGGGAGCAAAUUCCGUUACGUGUAACGGAGUCGAGAGUACCCGCCGAAAAAGCAUCGGCUAACUCCGUGCCAGCAGCCGCGGUAAUACGGAGGAUGCGAGCGUUAUCCGGAUUUAUUGGGUUUAAAGGGUGCGUAGGCGGGCAUUUAAGCCGGCGGUCAAAUGUCGGGGCUCAACCCCGGCCUGCCGUCGGAACUGGGUGCCUUGAGUGGGCGAGAAGUAUGCGGAAUGCGUGGUGUAGCGGUGAAAUGCAUAGAUAUCACGCAGAACCCCGAUUGCGAAGGCAGCAUACCGGCGCCCUACUGACGCUGAGGCACGAAAGUGCGGGUAUCG